GACGAACCGUGCGAACGUUAUUCGGAAUCACUGGGCUUAAAGCGCGUGUAGGCGGAUGGGGACGUCGGUUGUUGAAAGCCCCCGGCUCAACCGGGGAACUGGCGCCGAAACGCCCUGUCUUGAGGAGCGUAGGGGGACCUGGAACUUCCGGUGGAGCGGUGAAAUGCGUAGAUAUCGUAAGGAAGACCAGUGGCGAAGGCGGGUCUCUGGACGGUUCCUGACGCUGAGGCACGAAGGUCAGGGG
rnacentral:rRNA from 1 species